AAGAACACACCUUUCGAAGGUGUUGUAAAUUGUUCUUGAAUAGUUCAAAACUGUUGGUUCUUCUACUUGAAUGUAUGAUUCCGUAUUAGUAACUAUGUUUUACAAAUCGUUGUAAAAGUGUGACUAAUAAGAAGUAGAAGAUAUAUGAGAAAAGAAAAGGUGCUUCACAUACGGAACGUGAAUAAGAUAUAGAUCUCUGCGAAAGCAGAUAGUACUUACUUCCUCAUAUGAACUACCAAAGAAAUUGGAUUAUAGUAAUCUAAUUGAUUGUCUCUAUAGUAGAGAUGAUAUGGUAGUGUUAACUGUUUAAGAAAUAAUGAUGCUUAAAACCCAAAAGGUUGCAAGGUAGUGACUAAUCCCAACUAAAGUUGUGAUACCUUUAAAACAUAAAUUACGAGUUGGUCAUAGAUGGACGCUUUGGAUCGUUAGAUCCGGAUCCAAUACCUUC
rnacentral:lncRNA from 1 species